rnacentral:rRNA from 1 species
UGCAAGUCGAGCGAACAGAUAAGGAGCUUGCUCCUUUGACGUUAGCGGCGGACGGGUGAGUAACACGUGGGUAACCUACCUAUAAGACUGGGAUAACUUCGGGAAACCGGAGCUAAUACCGGAUAACAUUUGGAACCGCAUGGUUCUAAAGUGAAAGAUGGUUUUGCUAUCACUUAUAGAUGGACCCGCGCCGUAUUAGCUAGUUGGUAAGGUAACGGCUUACCAAGGCGACGAUACGUAGCCGACCUGAGAGGGUGAUCGGCCACACUGGAACUGAGACACGGUCCAGACUCCUACGGGAGGCAGCAGUAGGGAAUCUUCCGCAAUGGGCGAAAGCCUGACGGAGCAACGCCGCGUGAGUGAUGAAGGGUUUCGGCUCGUAAAACUCUGUUAUUAGGGAAGAACAAAUGUGUAAGUAACUGUGCACGUCUUGACGGUACCUAAUCAGAAAGCCACGGCUAACUACGUGCCAGCAGCCGCGGUAAUACGUAGGUGGCAAGCGUUAUCCGGAAUUAUUGGGCGUAAAGCGCGCGUAGGCGGUUUCUUAAGUCUGAUGUGAAAGCCCACGGCUCAACCGUGGAGGGUCAUUGGAAACUGGGAAACUUGAGUGCAGAAGAGGAAAGUGGAAUUCCAUGUGUAGCGGUGAAAUGCGCAGAGAUAUGGAGGAACACCAGUGGCGAAGGCGACUUUCUGGUCUGUAACUGACGCUGAUGUGCGAAAGCGUGGGGAUCAAACAGGAUUAGAUACCCUGGUAGUCCACGCCGUAAACGAUGAGUGCUAAGUGUUAGGGGGUUUCCGCCCCUUAGUGCUGCAGCUAACGCAUUAAGCACUCCGCCUGGGGAGUACGACCGCAAGGUUGAAACUCAAAGGAAUUGACGGGGACCCGCACAAGCGGUGGAGCAUGUGGUUUAAUUCGAAGCAACGCGAAGAACCUUACCAAAUCUUGACAUCCUUUGAAAACUCUAGAGAUAGAGCCUUCCCCUUCGGGGGACAAAGUGACAGGUGGUGCAUGGUUGUCGUCAGCUCGUGUCGUGAGAUGUUGGGUUAAGUCCCGCAACGAGCGCAACCCUUAAGCUUAGUUGCCAUCAUUAAGUUGGGCACUCUAGGUUGACUGCCGGUGACAAACCGGAGGAAGGUGGGGAUGACGUCAAAUCAUCAUGCCCCUUAUGAUUUGGGCUACACACGUGCUACAAUGGACAAUACAAAGGGCAGCUAAACCGCGAGGUCAUGCAAAUCCCAUAAAGUUGUUCUCAGUUCGGAUUGUAGUCUGCAACUCGACUACAUGAAGCUGGAAUCGCUAGUAAUCGUAGAUCAGCAUGCUACGGUGAAUACGUUCCCGGGUCUUGUACACACCGCCCGUCACACCACGAGAGUUUGUAACACCCGAAGCCGGUGGAGUAACCAUUUAUGGAGCUAGCCGUCGAA